UACGGAGGGUGCAAGCGUUAUCCGGAUUCACUGGGUUUAAAGGGUGCGUAGGAGGGCAGGUAAGUCAGUGGUGAAAUCUUCGAGCUUAACUCGGAACUGCCGUUGAUACUAUCUGUCUUGAAUACCGUGGAGGUGAGCGGAAUAUGUCAUGUAGCGGUGAAAUGCUUAGAUAUGACAUAGAACACCAAUUGCGAAGGCAGCUCGCUACACGAAUAUUGACUCUGAGGCACGAAAGCGUGGGGAGCAAACAGG
rnacentral:rRNA from 1 species